AUUGAACGCUGGCGGCAGGCCUAACACAUGCAAGUCGAGCGGAUGAAGGGAGCUUGCUCCUGGAUUCAGCGGCGGACGGGUGAGUAAUGCCUAGGAAUCUGCCUGGUAGUGGGGGAUAACGUCCGGAAACGGGCGCUAAUACCGCAUACGUCCUGAGUGAGAAAGUGGGGGAUCUUCGGACCUCACGCUAUCAGAUGAGCCUAGGUCGGAUUAGCUAGUUGGUGGGGUAAAGGCCUACCAAGGCGACGAUCCGUAACUGGUCUGAGAGGAUGAUCAGUCACACUGGAAAUGAGACACGGUCCCGACUCCUAAGGGAAGCAGCAGUGGGGAAUAUUGGACCAUGGGCGAAAGCCUGAUCCAGCCAUGCCGCGUGUGUGAAGAAGGUCUUCGGAUUGUAAAGCACUUUAAGUUGGGAGGAAGGGCAGUAAGUUAAUACCUUGCUGUUUUGACGUUACCAACAGAAUAAGCACCGGCUAACUUCGUG
rnacentral:rRNA from 1 species